rnacentral:rRNA from 1 species
GACAGAGGGGGCAAGCGUUGUUCGGAAUAACUGGGCUUAAAGGGCGCGUAGGCGGGCCGCCAAGUUCGAGGUGAAAUCCUCCGGCUCAACCGGAGAACUGCCUCGAAUACUGGAGGCCUCGAGGCGGGUAGGGGCACGCGGAACUGUGGGUGGAGCGGUGAAAUGCGUUGAUAUCCACAGGAACUCCGGUGGCGAAAGCGAUCGACUGGACCUCUUCUGACGCUGAGGCGCGAAAGCCAGGGGAGCAAACGGG